rnacentral:rRNA from 1 species
AGUACAGACGAGUUUGAUCCUGGCUCAAGAACGAACGCUGGCGGCAUGCCUAACACAUGCAAGUCGAACGAGACCCCUGACUUCGGUUGGCGGGUCUAGUGGCGCACGGUGCGUAACGCGUGGAAUCUGCCCUUGGGUUCGGAAUAACUCAGAGAAAUUUGAGCUAAUACCGGAUGAUGACGAAAGUCCAAAGAUUUAUCGCCCAGGGAUGAGCCCGCGUAAGAUUAGCUUGUUGGUGGGGUAAUGGCCUACCAAGGCGACGAUCUUUAGCUGGUCUGAGAGGAUGAUCAGCCAUACUGGGACUGAGACACGGCCCAGACUCCUACGGGAGGCAGCAGUGGGGAAUAUUGGACAAUGGGCGCAAGCCUGAUCCAGCAAUGCCGCGUGAGUGAUGAAGGCCUUAGGGUUGUAAAGCUCUUUUACCAGGGAUGAUAAUGACAGUACCUGGAGAAUAAGCUCCGGCUAACUCCGUG